GUUGUUUGUGCAUAUUUUCUCAUCUGAGUAGUCUACAGGUCCUAGCAGACACAACGUCUCUGAUAUUCUCAGAGACCUAAAAGGACAUGGAUAUGAAGCCUCUGAUGAUUCUCCUCCUGCUAGCAGCUGUCACCACCACCCCCCUGCAGCAGCUGUCACCACCACCACUCAUGCAGCACCUCUCACUACUACCGCCCCUGCAGCAGCUGUCACCACCACUUCUGCAGCACCUCUCACCACUACCGCCCCUGCAGCAGCUGUCACCACCACCCUCCCUGCAGCAGCUGUCACCACCACCACUCACGCAGCACCUCUCACCACCACCGCCCCUGCAGCACCUCUCACCACUACCGCCCCUGCAGCAGCUGUCACCACCACCACUCAUGCAGCACCUCUCACCACCACCACUCCUGCAGCACCUCUCACCACUACCGCCCCUGCAGCAGCUGUCACCACCACUGCCCCUGCAGCAGCUUUCACCACCACCCCC
ensembl:lncRNA